rnacentral:rRNA from 1 species
UACGUAGGGCGCAAGCGUUAUCCGGAAUUAUUGGGCGUAAAGAGCUCGUAGGCGGUUCGUUAUGUCUGCUGUGAAAGCCCCGGGCUUAACCCGGGAAUGGCAGUGGAAACUGGCGGGCUUGAGUGUGGCAGAGGGGGGGUGGAAUUCCGCGUGUAGCAGUGAAAUGCGUAGAGAUGCGGAGGAACACCGAUGGCGAAGACAGCCCCCCUGGGCUAACACUGACGCUGAGGCACGAAAGCGUGGGGAGCAAACAGG